rnacentral:misc_RNA from 1 species
AAGUCGUAACAAGGUUUCCGUAGGUGAACCUGCGGAAGGAUCAUUAUUGAAUCUUGGGUGGGGUGCCCUACCCCAACCCUACCUCCCUCUUUACACCGUGAACUGUGAUAUCUACCACGUCAACGAAUGUGUAUACUGCACUGUGCAGUCACUAACAAAACACAACUUUUAGCAACGGAUCUCUUGGCUCUC